ACAAGAAAACCUCUAUUUACAAACAGAUUUUAAAAUCACUUAGUGGCUGAAUUUUUCCCUCAAUAAGUUAGUGGCAGAAAAAAUCGCCACUAAAAUAUAAAUGUCUGCCGGUAUAUUUAAUGGCAUUUAAAUAAAAGAAAAUAAAAGGUAUUGGCAGAAUAAUCUGCCACUAAACGAAAGGACGAAAUGUGGGGACAGACUUUGUGGCAGAUUUAUCCGCCAGUAAAUUGAACAUGACAUAUAGUACCUCUUUGUGGAGGAAUUAUUCCGCCAGUAUAUGUAAAAGAAGGACAUGACAACUGGAUCUAGAAAAGGGGAAAAAUCACUUCUUUUUUUUGGUACACGAGCAAAUUUGUUUUUAUUUUACCGUACAAUUUGUUUCUUCUUCUUUAUCUCUUCCAUUCAUUAAAAUAUCUCUCUCUCAUUCAUUCAUAUUCAUUAAAAUAUGAAAUAUUUGAAUUUCAACAAUUACAUUCCAAAUUGAAUCUUCAAUCUAUUUCUCUCUUGCCGCAACUUUCAGUUCCACUCUUCCCCUUCUCCUAUCAUGGCUUCUUCAUCUUCAUCACUCAUCUAUUCAUAACUUUGAAAAAAAGUAGAUUGUUGUUGUCGAGGA
rnacentral:lncRNA from 1 species